rnacentral:rRNA from 1 species
GAGUUUGAUCAUGGCUCAGAUUGAACGCUGGCGGCAGGCUUAACACAUGCAAGUCGAGCGGAGAUGAGGUGCUUGCACCUUAUCUUAGCGGCGGACGGGUGAGUAAUGCUUAGGAAUCUGCCUAUUAGUGGGGGACAACAUUCCGAAAGGGAUGCUAAUACCGCAUACGUCCUACGGGAGAAAGCAGGGGAUCUUCGGACCUUGCGCUAAUAGAUGAGCCUAAGUCGGAUUAGCUAGUUGGUGGGGUAAAGGCCUACCAAGGCGACGAUCUGUAGCGGGUCUGAGAGGAUGAUCCGCCACACUGGGACUGAGACACGGCCCAGACUCCUACGGGAGGCAGCAGUGGGGAAUAUUGGACAAUGGGGGGAACCCUGAUCCAGCCAUGCCGCGUGUGUGAAGAAGGCCUUAUGGUUGUAAAGCACUUUAAGCGAGGAGGAGGCUACUGAGACUAAUACUCUUGGAUAGUGGACGUUACUCGCAGAAUAAGCACCGGCUAACUCUGUGCCAGCAGCCGCGGUAACACAGAGGGUGCGAGCGUUAAUCGGAUUUACUGGGCGUAAAGCGUGCGUAGGCGGCUUUUUAAGUCGGAUGUGAAAUCCCCGAGCUUAACUUGGGAAUUGCAUUCGAUACUGGGAAGCUAGAGUAUGGGAGAGGAUGGUAGAAUUCCAGGUGUAGCGGUGAAAUGCGUAGAGAUCUGGAGGAAUACCGAUGGCGAAGGCAGCCAUCUGGCCUAAUACUGACGCUGAGGUACGAAAGCAUGGGGAGCAAACAGGAUUAGAUACCCUGGUAGUCCAUGCCGUAAACGAUGUCUACUAGCCGUU